CCCAUGAAACUGUGUGAGCAAGAUUGAGCACUAGGAGUCUGCAAUUAAACGGCACUACCAACAUCUUCACACCUGCCUCUUUACACCUGCCUCUUCACACCUGCCUCUUCACACCUGCCUCUCCACACCUGCCUCUUCACACCUGCCUCUCCACACCUGUCUCUUCACACCUGCCUCUUCACACCUGCCUCUCCACACCUGCCUCUUCACACCUGCCUCUCCACACCUGCUUUUUCACACCUGCCUCUUCACACCUGCCUCUUCACACCUGCCUCUGACUUGACACAGGAUAUCAUUCUCAUUUCUUCCCAGAAUUACUUUCUUUGUCUCCUACUCUAGCUCUGCUAGCCAAAGGUUUUAGGCUUAAAUCAAACAUUCUGCAAUCUAACAAUGUCUUAUGGCACCUCCCAUCCUACCUGUAAACCUUCUGUGUCCUCUAUUGCUUCUACAGGACCCCUGUACUUUUUGAGGCGCCGCUGGCAGCGUGAAACAAAAACACUAACAGUGGUGCUUCAAAAAAGAAAAGCAAGAAAAGAAGAGGAAGCAAGAAACUUGCUUAGUCCUUUCAAAAGUUUUUUCAUAAUUAACAUGAACAUCUAAAAGUUGUGCGGUUUUACAUGGAUGAACGUGUGGGGCCUCCAAAGGAACGCAGCACAUCCUCCGGGUCCCAAUCUCCCGAAUUCUAGACACCUGUUCCCAAUUACCACCUGUGCAUAUAAGCCUGUCUGUUUCCUUCUCUCACCAUGAGAUUCUGGAUUGUACUGCUGCCUUCUGACUACCUGUGUACCGACCUCUGCCUACCUGCACUUUGUUAUUUGCCUUGUGGAUUAAAGUUACGCCUCUGACUUCACUCUAUCUGGGUCUGAGUCAUAUUCGGAAGGUUUUGGCAGUUAGCCUAUAUAACUAAUAUGGGAUCUGGAGAUUAGGGAAACAUAUUUAAAGGACAAGACUGGACAGGGAUAAAAAUGCACUCUUCUGUUUCAAUUUCUAGUCAAGAGCAGUUUAAUAAAGAAGAAUGGUCAAACAUAAGCAGAUC
ensembl:lncRNA